rnacentral:rRNA from 1 species
CAGGGGGGGCAAGCGUUGUUCGGAAUUACUGGGCGUAAAGGGCUCGUAGGCGGCCAACUAAGUCACACGUGAAAUCCCCAGGCUUAACCUGGGAACUGCGUGUGAUACUGGAUGGCUUGAAUUCGGGAGAGGGAUGCAGAAUUCCAGGUGUAGCGGUGAAAUGCGUAGAUAUCUGGAGGAAUACCGGUGGCGAAGGCGGCAUCCUGGACCGACAUUGACGCUGAGGAGCGAAAGCUAGGGGAGCAAACGGGAUUAGAUACCCCGGUAGUCCUAGCCCUAAACGAUGAAUGCUUGGUGUGGCGGGUAUCGAUCCCUGCCGUGCCGAAGCUAACGCAUUAAGCAUUCCGCCUGGGGAGUACGGUCGCAAGGCUAG